AGUGCGCCUUGCAGCCCCCCCUUUGGAUGGCGACACCACGCGAGUCUGUCAACUCCCAACUUUCUUCUUUUUCUUCCAAAUAGGAAGCCGUCACUUUCACACUUGAUCAAUAACAAGUCGGCUGUUGUAUGCCAGGAUAUGGGCUCGCAAGAUACCGGCAGGAAUUAAAAAAGACGGUCCACCGCAGUGCUCUCUUUUUUGUUACUCUUUCUUUGUGCUUAAAAACGUCCUCAUUUCACAUAUUUGCGUUAAAUCAACAGACUGACGCCCCGCGAUCUCCGUGCGCCUUGCAUUAAAAUCGGCAGUUGGGGUUUCAAAUGGAUUACUACAGUUGUGCAAGUCGACUUUCUAACGCACGACGAUUGUUGCAUUGGUAAGACAGCAUAGCCUGUGACAAAAGUAAAAGUAAGAUGGCGCAAAUUGUCCUCGAGCGACAACUGUGUGAGAAUAGUUUUGUAGGUGAGAAUUUUUUUUUUUAAUCAUGUCGACGGUUUUAUGUUUUAAUUGUGAACGCGUGGUCGUCCACUCCGUGAUCACGGCUAUUUGCUUAUUUUAUUUUAUUUUAUUUUAUUUUAUUUUAUAUCAAAUUAUUCUGAAAUGAACCAGUCGGAUAAGCUACACUGCCAGAAACUCAUGAACCCUCAAACAAGGGCAGAACAGUGCCAAGUGCACCGAAUCUCACCGGACAAACUGUUGUAAUCUCAUUUGAUCGCUGUAGAUGCAUUUCUGUUCCUGAAAUUCUAAAGAGUGUUUAAUGUACCGCGUUUAUCGUUAAUUAGUUAAAUAUAUUUAAUAAAGAUAAGUCCAGGCAUCAUUAUUAAAUAUAAUAAUUAACGGUCAUUAUUAUUAUUAUUAUUAUUAUUAUUAUUAUUAUUAUUAUUAUUAUUAUUAUUAUCAUUAGGACAUAAAUAUCGUUCUUUCACAAGUAUGGAAUACUAACUUGGCUUCAAAAUAUGAGCUGAAUUUUAUUAUUUUGUUUAGUAUGUUUCAAACAUCUAAAAGCCCAUUCUCAUUCUGGUGACUUUCCAGUUCAAGUCUCAGAUAAGCCGAAAGGGAUCGCUGUAGGCGCUGCUAAAGAGUGUGUGUGCACAUAUUGUCACGUGUUUCUUACGUUCCGAAAACCUCUAGAGAGCAAAGAAUGAUGACGCUGGUACAGUGGGAGAAGACUCAGACUUACGAGGGAGAGAAAGAGGGGAAAAAAAGAGAAAGAUGGAUACACAAAGCGAUCCUACAGUAUAGCCUAAUCAGAUGACAGUGAUACCAUGAGCCCUAGUUUCACAGCGCCCUGUAGUGAUUAGACACUCAAGUAAUUAUUGGAACUUUUCUCAUAAUAACAGCUACAAGGGGAGCAAUUCGAAUCAGCUGGUACUAAUAUAUAUAUUCGCUUUUUAAUUUACGUUAAAGUUAAAAUAAAGCAGCAGCGAUAAACAGCCUCCUUAUUAGAGACGUAAGUGUAUUUAAUAGUGGAGUGAUUGUGUGCCACGAGCUAUAAAAUUCCCAUAACUGGAAUAUUGUGCCUUGUGGGUUGUUUCAUCCCGAAAUAUUUACUUUAUCUAUUUAUUUCAUAAGAUAUAGGGAAAAAAGUUUUGAGGGCCUAGGAUGAAGGGUCUGUGUCAUGUGUCCUCCUUAAUGCGUUUUGGUUCAGAGUUGCUCUCUGAAGUAGGAGGAGGACCCAUAAUUUGAGAUCACGGAGCCUAUAAUAGGAGUAGGGUUAUGGCAACUGCUACCGCCUCUCAGCACUGCUCCGAUAAAGGAGGAGGUAUAGGUGAGUACAGUUUUGUUCAUUUGUGUGUGUUUUUUAAAUGUAUUUGAACUACGCAAGUGUUCGCAAUAGUCUGAGUUUAAUCUUCAUUUAUAUUUUAAUUAUUCUGAUAUUAUCUGACUUUGUCUCUUCCUAUUCGCUAUCACUUCUUCUUCUUCCUCUUUCCCCCCUGAGUGAACUGCCUCCGUUUUGACGCAUGGAAACGUUUUUAAGUGGCAAAGAAGAAUUGAAUGAAAGAUGAUGCAUGCCACUUAAAAUGCCUGAGGGAGCAAGCGUAAUCUAAAUUGGAUAUAGAAGCUAUUAUUACACAACAUUAUGCGUUGUGGCGGACUAAUUGCGUGGCUGGGUGAGUUAAACAGUCAGUUAAUGUCGAGUGGCAGACAGGUUUCUGGAGCGCACAAGGUCAGCUGUACUGCUCCCAAGCCUUUAGUGGUAUACAGAAAAAUGCUUGAAGUAUUCAUGGGAUUUUUAACCAUUCUAAAUCUGUGUCCUAAACCGAUUAGUUGACACCAAUUUUUCUUUGAUGUAUUAGCUGAGGGCUUUUGCCACUUGGAAGCCAAUUGAAAUUCAAAACAGUUUUCGCUCCAAAUGCUGUGGGGAGAUCUGCUGCAAAUAAUGGAUGUAAUUUAUUUUUGACCUUGCUUUUUUUUUUUUUUUUUUUUUUUUCAAAAGGGAGGGUUGUUAAAUGAUUAAACAUAUGUGCACUACGCUCUCGACUAAACAACUAGCAUUUGAUUGGCUAUUAUUAGUUUUGCAUUAUAGAGCUGUAAAUUUCCAUAUUUCUUAAAGUGUUAUAUAAGUGAUAAGCAUGACUAAAAUUGUUAUUCCUUUUUUUUAAUGCCAAAUUCACUCUUAAAAAGUUGCUGUUCCUGGUGUUAUUUUUCCUAAAUGAAUUAAAAAAAUAAUAAUUGACUCUUUGUUUUUGUUUUUGAAUCCCAGAUCCAUGUUGAUGAAGUCACCAAGCAGUCAGUGAAAUGCACCCUUCAAACACACAAGCACCCUUGCAAUUACAGCUUAAGUUAAACAACCUUGUUCACAUUUUGAAAUGAUAAUUAAAAAAUACAUACUCAAAAAGUCAGUUCUGUGUUUAUAUAACUGUAAUAAUUUAUCCGUUUUUUAACUCUUUUAUAGUUUUUAAAUAUGCUGCAUUGCUGCUAUUCCCGUGAUUUUAUUCGAGAUAGAAUCCCUCAAUGUUUUACGUAGUAUCACCACUUUUGCUCACACAAACUGAUGCCCAUGAUUCGAUGGGUUGAUUUGACUUUAAUAAUCAUACAAUUUACAUGAAGCACAAUAAUUCAAUAUGGCUUUCAGGGGAGAGAAUCUAUUUUCUGAUCUCCUUUCUGUUCUUGUGAUCUCUUUUUCUUUUAUUGACCUGAAUGAAGAUGUAUGGAGUGAGAGUGUGUGUGUGUCUUUGGUUUCCUCCUGAUGGGGUAUAUCAGCUCCCCCCUCUUCUCCCUACUCCCCACGAUCCCCGCAAGGCUGAAUGGCAGGCCUCUGGAUUGGCUAAGUGAUGAAAUGAUGACCCUAUUAUGGGAAGCGAUUCCAAAAUGAGAGAUAUCAGAAGAAGAUUACACCCCUCUCUCACUGCCACGCCAUCCUCCUGCAAUACACUGCCAGCUGCGCAGAUGAUGAUUGAUUCGCUUGAGAUGGAUCACAGGAAGCACCCAUUGAUUUUUCUGUGUUUUAUCAAAAAUAUUUAUUUACAGUUGUAUCCAUAGGGUGUAUCCAGACUCAACCCAUACUUCGUUCUCCAAAUGGGGGUUGGUAUAAAAGGGAUAAUUCCCCCUGUUCCAUGACAAGACGAAUGACCUGAAGUAUUAUUUCAGAAAUGAGUCAAUAGGCUCAGUGAGUAAAUGAAUAUUGAUUGGAUAUAAUGAAGCCUGAGUGUGAAUAUGAGCCCUGUUGCAGACUUCACUGCAGUGAUGCUGAUCCUCUCCAACUGAGUAUUUUGCAGACCUGCAUGUGCAGCUGGGACCAAAUACACCUCAUUCAGAGGGUGAAUCAACACACUCAGCAUUCAACUUUUCCUGUGUAUUUUGAUUCAUGAUCUGAGAGUGUCCAUACUUGACUCGCUUCUUAUCAGAUCUAUGGCUAAAUAGCAUGUUUAUGGUGAAGGUGCUAUAGGUGCCAUAUGGCAAUAAUCCAAGACUCAUGUUACUUAAAAGCUCUGGAGACAUGUAGGAGGCAUUUCUGUGUCACCUUUACAAAGGUAAACUGAUACAACAUACAAAUCAAAUGACAACUAGAAUGCUAAAACCACAGUGUGGGAGCUGUGCCCUAGAUAUUUGCACUGACUUAAUCCAAUUGAAAUAGUAUGAGUGAGUUGCAGGGGCUCCCAGGUCUGUUGCUUGCUUAUGUAUGUGAUGCAUAAUAGAAGUUGACGAGGUUGGUGAUAGAUCACAGCCCAGGUAAUGUAAACACAUUAAUCCCUCAGGGUUCAUGUGCAUGUUCUUUCUCUCCUUUUCUCUUAUAUCAGUCCCUCUCUCUCUAUCUGUCUCUCUCUUUCUCUCUCUUCAAGCCCUCAUCCUCCCCCCUCCACGUUCAUCAUCUUCCCUAAACGCGUUAGUGGAGCACAAACCAGAAGCAGCCUUAAUCUGUCAACAUGCCCUUUAAUUGGAGGGAGAAAACAACACGUGCUUCUGGUUAUGCCAUUCCUAAGUGCACAUGCCAAAGAAACACAGAGUUCAUGGAAGAAGUGAUCCCGGGAGAGCAGGGCAUAAUUAAAAGUAUCUUUUAAUAGGCUUGUAAUGCUGAGCCUGACUCUUGUUGCUUUAAGUAGAGGGCGAACUCUGUGGCUGGAGACGGACAUGCAAGGGGCUUCUGCUGAGGGAGCCUGUAAACGAUACAUUGCCUCGUCGUCAUCAGACAUGCAGUCUCUGCCUCAGUCACCACACUCGAGAUGACAGCCACUUUCCACCCCUGCCGCGGACACCUUGGCUUACCCGUUGCCGUGUUCUUUUGUUCUCAGAAUGAGAGAUUCUCCUCCACGACAUCACCUCUCCUCAUCUCCUUCCCAGCCACUUUGGCAAGUUGUGUUCUACCUCCUACUCACAGCACCAGCGGGGAGUGAGAACUGGGACUAAGGGGUUGAUUUGGGGCCUGCUACACUGUAAUCAAAUGAGACUGCUUAGGGGAGAGGAGAAGGAGGAGGUGGAGUAUUAUGUUCUGUCGUGCAUUCCACUGCAGCAUUGUUGCUUUUUUGUUUUUGUCAGGGCAGGCUUUGAUGCUGUAUCCUCUUACCUUUGUAGUCCCGGUAGCCAUGUUUCAUAAACACGGAAUGGGAAACAUCCUCAGCAUUAGAAAUUUAGAUUGCUGCUUUCCUCCUGCCACUCUGCAUUCCGCACGUGCCCGGUCGCAUUCUCCAUCUCCCAUUGCUGAGUAACCAUUUUGUCCGACAUCUGACACACUGCCCUGGGUUAUUGAGCCAGACGUGGAAAUCCAAAGCGGAGAUGCUCUCCUUAAUGCCUGACACCUGGUGCAGAUUUGGAAGGGAUUGCACUACAGGGUGUGCUUUACAAGUGGACGCUACUCAGGAGUGUUGCAGCUCACCUUACCGCUUGCAGUCACAUCUGCAGACUGUGCUGGAGCAGAAUGGCUAGCGAACAUAAACACAGCAAGGACAUCAAAGGCCGGCAGGUUGGGCUAUACCACCUGAGCAUGCUGAUUGCAGUGCAGUUCAGUAUCAUCUGACUAGUGAAAAGAGAAGAUUUUGUUGCACCAAGUUGAGACAUUUAACAGAAGGUUCCAACCAGAAUUUUUUGUUUGUUUGUUUAAAAAAUAAAUGAAUAAAUAAAAGCUCGAAACAUAAGCCUUUUGGCCUAUGAAUGGCAAAUUAUAAUUCAGUCCUGGAUAACUCAAGCAACACAGAUAAACUGUGAGCUGUACGCCACAAUAAUGUAACAGUCUUUCCUGGAUAAUAAUAUAAUAAGCAAGAUAAGCAAGUGCACACUUGGUGAGCUUCAUAGGCACACUGUUUAUGUUGACACAUGCAACUCUCUUCCUGAUGCAAAUGCAAUCUAAACAUUAAGCAAAGGGAAGGCAAGCGUAGCCCAUAAAGGCUGUGAGCUCCAAACACUUUGAACAGACAACUAUCACUAAUCACUCCCAGAGCAGUGCGGCGUGUAAUUACUCUGCCAAACGUUUGCCUUUCACAGCUUAGCACUGGGAGCCCUGACCCUGCGCUUCCCUGUCUUUCCUCACCACCGUGCAUGUGGAAGGGGAGGACCCCCACCACCCCCCGCCUGCUCCUCUUUCCCCUUUCUCUUUAGCAAGGGGAAAGGCAAGCUGAGCUCCCUCUCAGUAUUUAGAAAAAGAGUUGGGGGGGGAGAGGGGGGGAAAAAGAGAGGGAGAAAGACAGGAAGGGAGAAGACUGAGGUUGGUGCUUCCGGCUUUGUGGGAGCCCAUUUAAACAGGCUUUGAAACCCUAGCCAUCCGGAGAUCAGAAAUAGCCUUAUUGACUGCAUGGGCCCAGAAGUGACUGAGCACACAGGGUUCUUAAGAGUUCACUCUUCCUCGCCGCUUGGAACAGGGGGGUGGGCACCACAUGCUGAGGCCCUCUACAAAGAUUUUGGACAUAAAUUUUACAUCAGGAGAAAAUAUUAUUUUUACAGCUAUUUUUAGUGUCACAUGGUUGUAUCUCAAUUUUUGUGCUGUUGUAUGAUUUGUGUGUGUGGUUUUUAUUUUAGUUAUUUUUUAUUUUAUUUUUUGGAGUGACAGACAUCUAAUUCUGCUCUUUCCCUCAGUCUUAUUUAUUGAUAUUAGUAAUGCAGCUGUCAUUCUGCAAUGAGAUCUGUCCUCUGUCUGGGUGAAUGCUGAUAAGAUGACACAAUGCAAAUAUGAAGUGUGAUGGAGCCGCCUUGGCAAGCAGGUACAGAGUGUGCAGGGACCAGCAUCCCAUAAUGACUAUUAGCUGGAUUUCACAGCCUGCUUCUGAUCUCUUUCAGUGACAGGGGCCUUUAUAAGAGGCUGGGUGUGUCACUGCCCCUCCUAAUGGCUCUCAUAUACAUGUGCAUAUGCACCCAAAUGGCAGAUACACAAAGAGGAAUAUUAUACAAGACACUGUACAAUAAGUUUAAUGCUAUUUGGCAUCACUGUGGACUUUAAAAAAACAAAGGCAAUUUUUUGUAUCACAGAAAUGGUGAUAGAUUUUCUCCUUUUUUAUUUUUUAUUUUUUAUGAAUAAAUGAAAUGAGAUUGCUAUAAAUUUUAAGCUGGCCCACUGGCACAAUGAAACUGAACUUCAUAGUAGAAAUGAUCCUUUCAGCAUAUUAUCGAUACAUAACGUAUCUUUAUCUUAAUUUCACCACUAGUCAUCUUUACCAUAUUGUCAUAUUCUUCACCACUGCUGUAAAGGCUCAUUUAGACUCGCAGAAGCUUAAAGAGCUCUCUCAGUUGCUGCUUGUAUAAGCUUUUCAGAGAGUCCCGUUUUAUCACUGAUGUAGUAAUUUCACUUCAUCAGUCAGUUGUGACUAAAAAUACAUCAGGGAUUAGCUUCAUGGCCAGACUAUCUUCCGCUGCUUUGAUAACAUAAUGGGGGCUGGUGCUUGUGGUUACAAUCAUCUGAUAUAGGUUCAUAACAUUCGAAACUACACUUACAAUACUAUGGGCUUUUUGAAAGAGAAGAAUAGAGUGUGAUCUUCUUAAACUCUCAUGAAAAUUGUGUGUUUUCCCUUUUAAUUCCUUUGUAGGAGCAUUUUGCAAAGAUGAAAAUGGCUCCCACCCCCACUCGUUCCCCUUUCCAGUUUCUAUUCUACACAAAUUAGCUAUGGUCCUGGAGGGCAAAAUGACAAGAGGUUACUGGAAGACUAUGUGUUUAAUUAAUUGAAAAAUGCUUAAAUUGCUUUUACAGUUGUUAUGUGGAGUGAAAAAAGGGAAUCCAUGUUGCCAGUACUCAACCAUAAUUAGCACCCGCGGGAAUUAAAUAUUUAGCAUUAGCUGUGUUGCGGCACUUAGGACACAAAUUUCUAUUUUAACUAUGAAAGCGAGCCUGUCUUAAGUGCAUGAGUCUGUGUGGACAGCUGUGCAAAGGGGAACAGCACAGGAUAUUUCAGCGAGACACCCCAGUGGCAUUUCGGGUCCUUCCACAUCACAUGUGUAAGAGAUAUGGCAGUUGUAUUCCCAGGGGUUAGGCAUUACUCAGAGUAUUUAGUUUUCUAAUUAGGCUGAGGGCCUUCGUCCAUGCCUACCACCACCAUGGGAGCCAAUGAGAAUUUCCUCUCUUAUGUGUCAACUCUGAGACACAGAAAGAGGGGGAAAAAACAGGAAUGAAAAGAAGGAGAUAAAGAGGACGCAUGUGUGAAAAUGAGAGAGAGAUGUACACAUGGUUGAGGGAGAAAUAAAAAACCUGCAGAAAAGCCUUUGUUUAUUCCAACUUUAAUUACACAUUGCAUUUAAUGACUCCACUGGUGUGUUUGAGGCUGGAGAGGGAGAAGCUGUGGAGCCUUAAUGAUCUGUAGUAGUGGAUGUCAGCCGAGCCGUUGGAGACUUAAAGCCCAUUUUUAAAACUCCCUUUUUGUUUGGGCCUAGAGGCGACAGCGCAAAUGGAGUUCAUGCUAAGCCACACUGGGCUAGACUUAGGGACUACUUCACUGUCUGGUCAGCCAAUUUCACAAAGGGCCAGGCCAUUUGGAGGCAUCAGCAGCUGACCGCAGCAACUGUUAAACUUGUCAGUGUGCAUCAGGUUACCCACUAAUGAGAAGUAAUAAAGGUUAUCCCAACUUUUUAAGUGUUUGAUCUUUGUGCACAGUGGGAUUUAAACAUAACGCGUGGAAGGUGAACCAAGAUUGGAAUUGGAAUUUGACCCCUAUGUUAUGUGUGAAUGAGGAUUUAGAAAUAGACACAAAUAAUUAAAAGCUCAAGCUCUGAAACUUGGAUGAAUAGUUUUAGAAUGUAACAUAUUGUGCACUUAACUGAUAUAUCGUGGAUUAUUAUUUUUUGUGCAGGGAUGCAGGAUUACAGGAUUACAACCAGACUUGAAGAUUGUCUAAAAUCAUAGUGGUCAACAAUGUUUUCUGCCAAUAUACAACAAUCGGGCAGCAUAAGCUCUAUUUUUGAGAAAUUGCAUCUCGCUCUGGGGAAGCUGCAUUUUUACUAUAAUGUACUAAUGCUGGAUUGAAUCACUGAAUCAUGUUCAAUUAACACAACUGAAUGUAUGACCCUUUGAGAUGCAGUGUUAUUUGUUUUGACACACAGCUCUCAAAAAACGUACCCACCCCAUCUUCAGUGCAGAACGUUAAAACCCCUUGUUCUGUAAAACAAAUUCUCCGGAUUAUUCAAAGCUGUGAGAAUUAAGAUGGAAAAAUCCAUGCGUAAAAUUACCGUCCAUUCAACUUGAGGCAAUAUUUUCCUCUAGAGGCAAAUAUGUUAAUUGAGCUUCCUAAAGUAGCUCAAUCCUCAGGUUAUUUAAUUUCCCCAAAAGCCUUAGCUGUGCUGGGGUUGGUGGGGGGUGUAAAAUUCUUUACACCAGCAAUAUUGUCAUCAAGGGAAAAAUAGCAGCAAUGAGAAGAAAUGGAAAAGAGCAUACUGGUGGAGGUUGAAUAACUGUUAAGUCAUGAGGUAUAUAUAUAUACACAUAUACAUUAUAAAAUGAAUCAUGAGAUAAUGCAAAAAUUUCACAAAUGUUAAUGUAAAAGCAAGCUGCUAAAUCACUAGUUUUCUGCCAGAAAAUACAGUUUUGAAUAACUCUAAACUGAGCUUAACCUGCCAAAGAAUCAUCUUCAUAACUGUCAUGUCAUCUAAUUGCUUCUGUCUGUUUUCCCCAAAGGCUGUGUCCAGUUCUGUCACUGGUCCUUAGUGCUCCAGCAGCCUGGUCAAAAAGACAUCCUGGCAGGGUCCCAGGGUGGAUGCAUCGCCCACGCACGCUGCUCUUGCCAGAUCCCAGAAGUCUUUGUGGUGAACCACUGACCGUGCUGCUCCCUAUUUUCUUCCAGCCCAGCAAAUAAUGUGUCAGAAAAAGAUUAUUGAUAGCCCAUAAAAGAAGAGGCAGAAUGUUGUUGCCGCACUGCUCCAACUUUAAAGAACAAUACAAGUGCUAAACCAUCAGUUUCAAUGGUGCACUGCUCCUGAAAGAGCACAGCAUUUAUUUUUCACAUUGUUGUUCAGUUUGAAUAAAAGGUGC